rnacentral:lncRNA from 1 species
AAUCAUGUGACCAGUCAAUACUACUAGCUCAACUGAGCUCAACAUCCCACCAGAGCGCAUUAUUAUAAAUGGAAGGAUUUUUGUUUAUGGUUGCAUCCAUCCGAGAGUGGUAGUCCGGGCUGCUGUUCCCUGGAUAACCAUCCGCACAACAGAGACGAAUCUGCUGAGAGACUGCCCCGUUAUUAGGCUACGGCAUCCACUGUGCCACCAUGGGCCUGGAAACAAGAGAUUUCUGAGAAGGAGCCUGUGAUUCAGGAUUUACUUUUCUAUCAGCCACCUUGACUUGGAGGGACCCUUCUCAUUCACCACGGGCCCUGCUGGCAGUCAAGUGAACAGGGAGAAACAAGAAGAUUUAAAAACACAAAGCCAGAUGCAUUUUGUGUCCCACAAUUGUAAUCCCAGCAUUUAGAAGGUAACUGCAGGCGGAUUUGAGUUGGAGGCCACUUGAGGCUACAAGAAAGAGAUAUGCCAAAACAAACAAAGAAACAAAUGACUUAACAAACAAACACAAGCUGAACCCAACAAAACCUACUAACCAACCAAAAAUCUAAGCGGGAGGAGUCAGCCAAAAUUAUGUUUUUUUAAGAAUGGACCAAAGCUUAUGGAGAACCAAAGGAUACAAAGAAAUGGUUGUGAGAAUCAACAGGGCACAUUCUGCUUUUGUGUUCCCGGUUAGGGUGGUAGUAUAGUAAUGAAGUAUUUAUUACUUGUGUUGGUUGUUGACUUGUAGUUUGUAUGUGACAGGUCCUGGGUUAAACAUUUUACACAUACUUUUUUUUUUCUUCUUCUGUUACUAAUUGUGACUCUGAAAAAUACUAUAGGAAAGGGAACUGAGGUGUAGAUGUCUUAAUGAACCUAGUGAAGGGCAUGCAGUUGGGAAGUGGAUGGCUAUAUCCAGAGUGCAUUUUCCAUACAUCUGCUGUGAGCAGCUCAAGUUGGCUUCUCUGCUGGAGAACAUUUCAACUGUAGCGAAAGAUUAAAGGGAUAUGUGAAGAUCUUUGAGAAGGGGUGGUGAGGUAAGAAUGAGCAUGUUAGAAAGAAAAGGAAUCACUAAAGAUUAAGGGAACUGGUAUUACCAGUGGUGUCAGGUAGCACCACGGAGAAAGACGCUCUCUGGGCAGGCAAGGGAUAGAUCUAGUCCCUCAGUACAUAUGUAACAGCUGUGCAGCUCAGUCUUCAUGUGGGACCCCUAACAGCAGGGGCAAGGGCUGUCUCUGACGCUAUUGCCUGCCUUUGGAUCCCUUUCCCCUAACUGGACUGCCUUGCCUAGCCUAGCCUAGC